rnacentral:rRNA from 1 species
UGCAGUCGAGCGGAACGAGUGUAUCUGAACCUUCGGGGAACGAUAACGGCGUCGAGCGGCGGACGGGUGAGUAAUGCCUAGGAAAUUGCCCUGAUGUGGGGGAUAACCAUUGGAAACGAUGGCUAAUACCGCAUGAUGCCUACGGGCCAAAGAGGGGGACCUUCGGGCCUCUCGCGUCAGGAUAUGCCUAGGUGGGAUUAGCUAGUUGGUGAGGUAAGGGCUCACCAAGGCGACGAUCCCUAGCUGGUCUGAGAGGAUGAUCAGCCACACUGGAACUGAGACACGGUCCAGACUCCUACGGGAGGCAGCAGUGGGGAAUAUUGCACAAUGGGCGCAAGCCUGAUGCAGCCAUGCCGCGUGUGUGAAGAAGGCCUUCGGGUUGUAAAGCACUUUCAGUCGUGAGGAAGGUAGUGUAGUUAAUAGCUGCAUUAUUUGACGUUAGCGACAGAAGAAGCACCGGCUAACUCCGUGCCAGCAGCCGCGGUAAUACGGAGGGUGCGAGCGUUAAUCGGAAUUACUGGGCGUAAAGCGCAUGCAGGUGGUUUGUUAAGUCAGAUGUGAAAGCCCGGGGCUCAACCUCGGAAUAGCAUUUGAAACUGGCAGACUAGAGUACUGUAGAGGGGGGUAGAAUUUCAGGUGUAGCGGUGAAAUGCGUAGAGAUCUGAAGGAAUACCGGUGGCGAAGGCGGCCCCCUGGACAGAUACUGACACUCAGAUGCGAAAGCG